AUUCAGUAUUUUUUUGUCACUACAAAUGGUUAUCAGAGAAAUCUUGAGUGCCAAUUACAUUGUUAUAAUAUCAUCUUAAAGUCAUCAUGAACGCACGCUUCUUCCGUCACUCGCCAGCCUUCGGGACAACACCGCAAGCGAAAGUCAUGCAGGCAUACGCAAUGAUUACAGAGCAGAUCAGCGAGGAGACACAAGUGAAGGAGUUGCCCACGCAGACGACCUGCAGCACAGAUAUUCAGAUGCUGGACUCCCUUACUAUUAAAAUUAGAGCCUCAGAAGACCAACUUGCCCAACAAAGAGUUGAUACUGCCGCUCUCACUAUGGAACUUGCAUCACUCCAUGAUCCCCACAUGCGUGAGCUGCUCGCUCUUUGCACUCAAGGAUGCCAGAGGGUUUCGAAAAAGAUUGAAGAGUAUAAAAGACUCUUUGACCAGUUUUCACAAGAAAUCAGAUCAAGCUUUCAACGAGAUUACGAAAAUCCUUUAAAAGACUCUUCCCAAUCGAUUUCAUUGGACGAUCCCUCAAACCCAACCGGGGAUCAAUCUUAACUGCUUCGACCUCUGAACAUCCAAGCGUUUCUUUCAUCACCUGACAAACAGCGAACCUAUCAUAUUAUGUUUAUGAAACAGAGAAACAAUACACUGAUAUCCUAAUACCUUUGGAACACCGUGAGCAUAAUAAGAAUACUACAUUUGAUCCAAUGAACUAAUAUAUAUAUAUAUAUAUAUAUAUAUAUAUAUAUAUAUAUAUAUAUAUAUAUAUAUAUAUAUAUAUAUAUAUAUAUAUAUAUAUAUAUAUAUAUAUAUAUAUAUUCACUCAUUAUUAUUACAUUCCAGUGAGAAGAGAUCCAGGUGUUCAAUGCAUAUGCAUAUGUCUUCUUUAAUGUUUGAAAGGAUAUUUUAGUUGAAUGAAUACCAGAUUUUAUUUUUUCAUUUUAUUUUAUUUUAAUUUUUGUUUUUCUUCUAAGUAUAUUUUGAGAUUUGGGUUUUUCACCAGAUGUUACACAUUAAUUUACAUUACAAUACUUUAAUUUACUUUUUUGUAAUGAAUCAGUUUUAACAGGUGUGCAAGGGUCAGUAACUUAUGUUAGAUAAUAAAGACUAAUGCUGAAUUU